rnacentral:rRNA from 1 species
UACAGAGGGUGCAAGCGUUGUUCGGAAUUAUUGGGCGUAAAGGGAGUGUAGGCUGUUAGGUAAGUCUUCUGUGAAAUCUACGGGCUUAGCCUGUAAAGUGCAGAGGAAACUACCUGGCUUGAGUGUCGGAGAGGAUAGGGGAAUACCCAGUGUAGAGGUGAAAUUCGUAGAGAUUGGGUGGAACACCAGUGGCGAAGGCGCCUAUCUGGCUGACAACUGACGCUGAGACUCGAAAGCAUGGGGAGCAAACAGG